rnacentral:lncRNA from 1 species
AGGGUUGGAUGUGUGUGAGUGUGUGAGCUUGUGUUUCAAUGUGUGUGUGUAUUGUGUGUGUGUGUGUGUGUGUGUGUGUGUGUGUGUGUGUGUGUGUGUGUAUUUUAAGAACUCCUUUGAAUUCCCAGGGUGGUCACAUUCAUGUCUUUGCCCUGACAGGUAUGGGAAAGUCUGGAUCAAGAUGUGGUAUUCCCACUUUGAAGUCGACGGUCAUGCUCGGCUGCCAUAUGAGCUCUUUGGCUGCCAUCAAGUCUGUUGUCGUGGGAGACCAGGUUGGAGGUAACCAUGGAACUUCGUGGAGUUGAAAGGAAUUUCAAGCAUCAGUUGGUUCAAAAGUUUCAAACUUACAGGCCACUGGCAACAACCAACAGACACAAAUUAAAAUGUAAUUGGGAAAUGUGAUGCAAAAUAAAUAAAAUUAAAA